rnacentral:rRNA from 1 species
ACUGCAGCAGCCGCGGUAAUACGUAGGUGGCAAGCGUUGUCCGGAAUUAUUGGGCGUAAAGGGCUCGCAGGCGGUUUCUUAAGUCUGAUGUGAAAGCCCCCGGCUCAGCCGGGGAGGGUCAUUGGAAACUGGGAAACUUGAGUGCAGAAGAGGAGAGUGGAAUUCCACGUGUAGCGGUGAAAUGCGUAGAGAUGUGGAGGAACACCAGUGGCGAAGGCGACUCUCUGGUCUGUAACUGACGCUGAGGAGCGAAAGCGUGGGUAGCGGACAGGAUUAGAUACCCGAGUAGUCCCUGUCUCUUAUAC